rnacentral:rRNA from 1 species
GACGAACGCUGGCGGCGUGCUUAACACAUGCAAGUCGAACGGAAAGGCCCUGCUUUUGUGGGGUGCUCGAGUGGCGAACGGGUGAGUAACACGUGAGUAACCUGCCCUUGACUUUGGGAUAACUUCAGGAAACUGGGGCUAAUACCGGAUAGGAGCUCCUGCUGCAUGGUGGGGGUUGGAAAGUUUCGGCGGUUGGGGAUGGACUGGCGGCUUAUCAGCUUGUUGGUGGGGUAGUGGCUUACCAAGGCUUUGACGGGUAGCCGGCCUGAGAGGGUGACCGGCCACAUUGGGACUGCGAUACGGCCCAGACUCCUACGGGAGGCAGCAGUGGGGAAUAUUGCACAAUGGGCGGAAGCCUGAUGCAGCAACGCCGCGUGCGUGAUGACGGCCUUCGGGUUGUAAACCGCUUUCGCCUGUGACGAAGCGUGAGUGACGGUAAUGGGUAAAGAAGCACCGGCUAACUACGUG